rnacentral:rRNA from 1 species
GACCGGCGCACGGGUGCGUAACGCGUAUGCAAUCUACCUUUUACAGAGGAAUAGCCCAGAGAAAUUUGGAUUAAUGCCUCAUAGUAUUAUGAAAUGGCAUCAUUUUAUAAUUAAAGUCACAACGGUAAAAGAUGAGCAUGCGUCCCAUUAGCUUGUUGGUAAGGUAACGGCUUACCAAGGCAACGAUGGGUAGGGGUCCUGAGAGGGAGAUCCCCCACACUGGUACUGAGACACGGACCAGACUCC